GAAAUGUUGGGUUAAGUCCCGCAACGAGCGCAACCCUUAUCCUUGUUUGCCAGCGAGUAAUGUCGGGAACUCCAGGGAGACUGCCGGUGAUAAACCGGAGGAAGGUGGGGACGACGUCAAGUCAUCAUGGCCCUUACGAGUAGGGCUACACACGUGCUACAAUGGCGCAUACAGAGGGCAGCCAACUUGCGAAAGUGAGCGAAUCCCAAAAAGUGCGUCGUAGUCCGGAUUGGAGUCUGCAACUCGACUCCAUGAAGUCGGAAUCGCUAGUAAUCGUGGAUCAGAAUGCCACGGUGAAUACGUUCCCGGGCCUUGUACACACCGCCCGUCACACCAUGGGAGUGGGCUGCAAAAGAAG
rnacentral:rRNA from 1 species